rnacentral:rRNA from 1 species
GAUGAACGCUGGCGGCGUGCCUAAUACAUGCAAGUCGAGCGAACAGAUAAGGAGCUUGCUCCUUUGACGUUAGCGGCGGACGGGUGAGUAACACGUGGGUAACCUACCUAUAAGACUGGAAUAACUCCGGGAAACCGGGGCUAAUGCCGGAUAACAUUUAGAACCGCAUGGUUCUAAAGUGAAAGAUGGUUUUGCUAUCACUUAUAGAUGGACCCGCGCCGUAUUAGCUAGUUGGUAAGGUAACGGCUUACUAAGGCAACGAUACGUAGCCGACCUGAGAGGGUGAUCGGCCACACUGGAACUGAGACACGGUCCAGACUCCUACGGGAGGCAGCAGUAGGGAAUCUUCCGCAAUGGGCGAAAGCCUGACGGAGCAACGCCGCGUGAGUGAUGAAGGUCUUCGGAUCGUAAAACUCUGUUAUUAGGGAAGAACAAAUGUGUAAGUAACUGUGCACGUCUUGACGGUACCUAAUCAGAAAGCCACGGCUAACUACGUG